rnacentral:tRNA from 1 species
AGUAUAGCUGAGACGGAUAGCAUCUCCCUUACACCGAGAAGUCAUCCGUGCAAAUC